CCUACGGGAGGCAGCAGUGGGGAAUCUUGCGCAAUGGGCGAAAGCCUGACGCAGCAACGCCGCGUGCGGGAUGAAGGCCUUCGGGCUGUAAACCGCUUUCAGCAGGAACGAAAAUGACGGUACCUGCAGAAGAAGGAGCGGCCAACUACGUGCCAGCAGCCGCGGUGACACGUAGGCUCCAAGCGUUGUCCGGAUUUAUUGGGCGUAAAGAGCUCGUAGGCGGUCUAGUAAGUCGGGUGUGAAAACUCUGGGCUCAACCCAGAGACGCCAUCCGAUACUGCUGUGACUUGAGUUCAGGAGGGGAGCGGGGAAUUCCUAGUGUAGCGGUGAAAUGCGCAGAUAUUAGGAGGAACACCGGUGGCGAAGGCGCCGCUCUGGACUGAAACUGACGCUGAGGAGCGAAAGCAUGGGUAGCAAACAGGAUUAGAUACCCUGGUAGUCCAUGCCGUAAACGGUGGGCACUAGGUGUGGGUUUCAACUAACGAAAUCCGCGCCGUCGCUAACGCAUUAAGUGCCCCGCCUGGGGAGGUACGGUCGCGAGACGAAACGUACGAAGGAAGUAGUUACGGCGUGAGACGUGCCGACGGCGACGACGAGGGAGGAGG
rnacentral:rRNA from 1 species